rnacentral:lncRNA from 1 species
CAAAAGUAGUGCAUUUUUGGAGGAUCCAAAAUGGGUGCGGCAGUAUUUUGGAGAGUCCGCGGAACAUAGCUAUCGGAAGCAACCUCCCUACCUUCAAGGUAGGGGUAAUGUCUUGUACACAUUACCCUCCCCAGCCCCCCACUUGUGGGAUUACACUAGGUUUGUUGUUCUUGUUGCUAGGCAAUACGGAACCUCCCAACAGCUCUUUUGUGCAGUUUAUCUGGCUUUGGAACAUUGCUUAUUUGUACCAUUGGUGGUAAAGCUGAAGGGGAUUUGGUCUAUAAACCCUUCUCUUUUCUUAGGUGAAUAGCUGUUUGCGGUUCAAUUUUUCAUUGACCUAUUUAAGAUGGCCACGAACGAUUUUUAAAUCCUUAUUAGUUCUUUACUCUUUUUUAAAAUAAAGAAAUUGAAUGAUGGUCGACAAAGUUAUUCUAUCCAACCCUCAAAGGAUGCUUUAUACAAACUAAAAAUAUGGGUCCUAUGCGAGCUCCAAAUUUUAAGGAUAGUUUUUUUUUAUUUGCAUUAUCCCAUAACCUUUGCUUUUAAGAAUAUGAUCUCCUUAAUCACUGAUGAUAGAGGGUCCAGGUGGUGUAGCGCUACCUUCGGUUGGUGGACGAGAUAAUGAUGAAGACAACACCAUUUCAGAAAGCUAAUUAUGACUACACCUGGGCAUUACCAUUUUUAUGGAAAAUAAAAUACAAAGUAUUACUCAAUUGCGUUGCAGAAGGUGUUAAUUUUCUUUUGGGUUCCUCCUAUUACAAUCUCUACAAUAUGCUUUGUUGCUAAAAUUUGGAGCUUGCAUUGAACCUAUAUUGUAGUUUACAAAGCAUCCUUUGGGGGUUGGAUAGAAUAACUUCGUCAUAUGUAAUUAGAUAUGUUUCUCUAUUUGUUUUGGUAAAUGGCCUGAUAAGUG